rnacentral:rRNA from 1 species
AUUGAACGCUGGCGGCAGGCCUAACACAUGCAAGUCGAGCGGAGCGGCGGACGGGUGAGUAAUGCCUAGGAAUCUGCCUGGUAGUGGCGGAUAACGUCCGGAAACGGGCGCUAAUACCACAUACUAUCAGAUCAGCCUAGGUCGGCUUAGCUAGUUGGUGGGGUAAAGGCCUACCAAGGCGACGAUCCGUAACUGGGCUGAGAGGAGGAUCAGUCAGACUGGAACUGAGACACGGGCCAGACUCCUACGUGAGGCAGCAGUGGGGAAUAUGGGGCAAUGGGGGAAAGCCUGAUCCAGCCAUGCCGCGUGUGUGAAGAAGGUCUUCGGAUGGUAAAGCACUUUAAGUUGGGAGGCGUUAUCAACAGAAUAAGCACCGGCUAACUUCGUGCCAGCAGCCGCGGUAAUUC